rnacentral:rRNA from 1 species
UACGGAGGGGGCAAGCGUUAUUCGGAAUUAUUGGGCGUGAAGGGCGCGUAGGCGGCUAGAUGUGUCAAAGGUGAAAUCCCUCGGCUCAACUGAGGAACUGCCUUUGAAACUGUCUGGCUUGAGGCCGGGAGAGGGUAGCGGAAUUCCCAGUGUAGCGGUGAAAUGCGUAGAUAUUGGGAGGAACACCAGUGGCGAAGGCGGCUACCUGGACCGGUUCUGACGCUGAGGCGCGAAAGCGUGGGGAGCAAACAGG